AGAGUUUGAUCAUGGCUCAGGAUGAACGCUAGCGGCAGGCUUAAUACAUGCAAGUCGAGGGGCAGCGGGGUGUAGCAAUACACUGCCGGCGACCGGCAAACGGGUGCGGAACACGUACGCAAUCUACCCACAACUGGGGCAUAGCCCUCCGAAAGGAGGAUUAAUACCUCGUAACAUCACGGUGUGGCAUCACGCGGUGAUUAUAGCUCCGGCGGUUGUGGAUGAGCGUGCGGCUGAUUAGGUAGUUGGCGGGGUAACGGCCCACCAAGCCUGCGAUCAGUAACUGGUGUGAGAGCACGACCAGUCACACGGGCACUGAGACACGGGCCCGACUCCUACGGGAGGCAGCAGUAAGGAAUAUUGGUCAAUGGCCGCAAGGCUGAACCAGCCAUGCCGCGUGAAGGAUGAAGGUCCUCUGGAUUGUAAACUUCUUUUAUAGGGGACGAAACACUUCUUUUCCAAGAAGCUUGACGGUACCCUAGGAAUAAGCACCGGCUAACUCCGUGCCAGCAGCCGCGGUAAUACGGAGGGUGCAAGCGUUAUCCGGAUUCACUGGGUUUAAAGGGUGCGUAGGAGGGCAGGGAAGUCCGUGGUGAAAUCCCAGAGCUUGACUCUGGAACUGCCGUGGAUACUCUCUGUCUUGAAUGCCGUGGAGAUGAGCGGAAUAUGUCAUGUAGCGGUGAAAUGCUUAGAUAUGACAUAGAACACCAAUUGCGAAGGCAGCUCGUUACACGAACAUUGACUCUGAGGCACGAAAGCGUGGGGAUCAAACAGGAUUAGAUACCCCGGUAGUCC
rnacentral:rRNA from 1 species